GUUUCCGUAGUGUAGUGGUUAUCACGUUUGCCUCACACGCGAAAGGUCCCCAGCUGAAAACUGGGCGGAAACA
rnacentral:tRNA from 1 species